GACGAAGGGGGCUAGCGUUGUUCGGAAUUACUGGGCGUAAAGCGCGUGUAGGCGGUUAUCCAAGUCGGGUGUGAAAGCCUUGAGCUCAACUCAAGAAAUGCACUCGGUACUGGGUGACUAGAGGACCGGAGAGGAUAGUGGAAUUCCCAGUGUGGUGGUGAAAUACGUAGAGAUUGGGAAGAACACCAGUGGCGAAGGCGGCAUCCUGGACCAUUACUGACACUGAACCGCGAAAGCUAGGGGAGCAAACGGG
rnacentral:rRNA from 1 species